ACUCAAAGGAAUAGACGGGGACCCGCACAAGCAGUGGAGUGCCUGGUUUAAUUCGAUGUUCAGCGAAGAAUCUCACCUGGGCUUGAACUGUGGCUGCUAAUCCUAUGAAAAUAGGGCUCUUUCGAAGGUGCCAUAGAGGUGGUGCACGGUUGUCGUCAGCUCGUGUCGUGAGAUGUAGGGUUAAGUCCCACAACGAGCGCAACCCCUACCCAGUGUUAAAAUUUCUCUGGGGACUGCCUUGCCAAAACGAGGAGGAAGGAGGGGAUGACGUCCAAUCAGCAUGUCCCUUAUGUCCAGGGCUACACAGACACUACAAUGGCCAGUACAAUGGGUUGCCAAACCGCGAGGUGGAGCGAAUCCCAUCAAAGCUGGUCCCAGUUCGGAUUGCAGGCUGGAACUCGCCUGCAUGAAGUCGGAAUUGCUAGUAAUCGCGUAUCAGCAUGGCGCGGUGAAUACGUUCUCGGGUCUUGCACACACCGCCCGU
rnacentral:rRNA from 1 species